UGCCCUCCUCUGAGUCCAACAGGUCGCUAACCCUCCGGCCUGCUAAUCGCACCGUGUCCACCAUGGUCGGCAUGCGGCUGAUCGGCACUGCAGUCACCCAACAGUCCUCCAAUAUAUCAAUGGAGCAUCCAUCACCAAUCGCCCAUCUGAUCUCCGAAAGGACCACCCCAGCUCUGGCACACAUCUCCCUCCACACCGGGGAGUGAGAACGGGCCGCUCGCACUCCGGGCACCAGAACGCCAUACUUGGCCCUCAUCAGUGAGGACCACAAACUAUCGGGCUCCAUAACAAAUCUAGCUACAUG
rnacentral:lncRNA from 1 species